rnacentral:snRNA from 1 species
AGAAGCUUUUCUUUUUGAAAUUUGUCUGGUGGGUUCUUUGGCUCUGGCUGGAAAUCCCAA